GUACAGUACACUUUCUGGAGAGAGAGUAGGAUACCUCUGCAAGAACCUGAAAAUACAGUGACAAAAAAAGAGUAAACAACAAGAAGGGAUGCAGGAGGAUGUUCAAAUUAUUGCAGCAAAACAGAACAGUUAUAAUUUCAGCGCUCGGAAGGUGACGUGGCACGCCGGGAAACUGUGACGUGGAAAUAUUAAAACAGUUGGAUUUGCCAGCUAUAAUAAACUUUUUAAAAUAUAUAUAUAUAUCUAUGUGACACAUUAGUCCUAAGUGGAGAAUUCCCCCAAAUGAAAUAAGAAAAAUACCCUAAGUAUAGAAAAGAACUCUCGCACGAUGCUUGCAAUUGAAGAAGAAAGAACAAUCAAUCCGAAGCUCGUCGCCGGGAAUCAAUUGAAGUAGAGAAAAAAUUCCCAAAUCAUUCCAGCCGAUCCAAUCAAUCCGAAGCUCGUCUCUGAAUCGUCUGUCAAAGCUCGUCGUUGUGCAUCGCCACUGCUUGCAAGAGGACACCUCCAAAAUUUUCUACCAGGAUUAGCUACACUAAAGUACCUAAUGAGGUUACAUUAUCCAUGAAUGCAAUGUUCUUUGUGAC